rnacentral:rRNA from 1 species
AGUCUAAGGGUAUCACUMAACCCCGUGGCGAAGUGAAAGCGAAAUAAUUGUUGUGGGAAGAUGGCACCCGCUCUCGGAAUUUUAUUUCGAAGAGCAUCGGCGGUGUCCCGCAUUCCCAGGGCGCUUGCCGGGAGCUCGUUCUCUCGAUCCGUCUUUCCUUCGGGAGGGGCACGAUCGUUUGAAAUGGCACCCUAGGCGCACCUCGAGCGCACACGUUGGGACCCGAAAGAUGGUGAACUAUGCCCGGCCAGGAUGAAGUCAGGGGAAACUCUGAUGGAGGUCCGAAGCGAUUCUGACGUGCAAAUCGAUCGUCUGAGUUGGGUAUAGGGGCGAAAGACUAAUCGAACCAUCUAGUAGCUGGUUCCCUCCGAAGUUUCUCUCAGGAUAGCUGACGUCCGUUUACUAAACGAGUCUCAUCCGGUAAAGCGAAUGAUUAGAGGCCUUGGGGCCGAAACGACCUCAACCUAUUCUCAAACUUUAAAUGGGUGAGACGCACGGCUUGCUCGAAUUAUGAAGCCGCGUCUCGGAUCAKGAUGUCUAGUGGGCCAUUUUUGGUAAGCAGAACUGGCGCUGUGGGAUGAA